CAGUUUGUUGAAUAUGUGGUGAACUUAAAGUUUGGCGAAGAACCUAAUUAUGCAAAAUGCAUUUCUUUUUUCAAUGGGGUUGUUGGUCCAAAUCCAGAUCUCAGGCCAAUUAACACAGAAGGCGCUCUAAAGGUUGGUCAUAAGAGAGGCCGGUUGUCUAUGGAGGAAGAAGAAGAAGAAGAAGAUGAUGGACAACCAAAGAAGAAGGUUCGACUGGGCAUGGCAGCAGCACAAUGGAUUAGUGUGUACAAUGCUCGUAGACCUAUGAAGCAACGGUAUCACUAUAAUGUGGCUGAUGCAAGACUUGCCCAGCACAUUGAAAAAGGAAAUGAGGAUGGCUUAUUUAUUAGCAGCGUAGCUUCAUGUCAAAAUCUUUGGGCCUUGAUUAUGGAUGCUGGUACUGGUUACACUGCACCAGUCUAUGAACUAUCGCCACAUUUUCUUCACAAGGAAUGGGGAAGAAUUAUUAUAUCAGUGCCUUAGCUGGAGCAGCUAAUGGAAGCUCAUUAGUUGUUAUGUCUAAGGGUACUCUCUAUUUGCAGCAGUCAUAUAAAGUUAGUGAUUCAUUUCCUUUUAAAUGGAUUAACAAAAAAUGGAAGGAAGGUUUCUAUGUUACUGCAAUGGCCACCUCAGGGAGUAGAUGGGGAGUUGUUAUGUCUCGUGGGGCAGGGUUUGCACACCAUUGAACUUGAUUUCCUUUAUCCUAGUGAGGGCAUACAUCGUCGGUGGGAUCAUGCAUAUCGUAUUACAGCAACUGCAGCAACUUGGGAUCAGGCUGCUUUUGUUCUUAGUGUGCCAAGACAGAAACCUCCAGAUGAAACACAGGAGACACUUCGAACGUCUGCUUUUCCUAGUACCCAUGUCAAGGAGAAGUGGGCAAAGAAUUUAUACAUAGCAUCAAUUUGUUAUGGACGAACAGUCUCAUGAGUGACACCUCUCUCUCCAUGUAGUUGCUUGAUUGAGGAGAAAAACCAUGGUUUUCUGAAGUGGCAAUAUCUAGGCAUAGAGAAAUUUUGACGAGUAUAUAGCUUUUUUUUUAUCAAUUGUAAUCAGAAGUAUAGAAGCUUUGGGUUGUGCCUGUCAUUUAUGUAAAAUUUCUACUGCCAAAGUCUGAUCCAACAAAGCCCAAAGGGAUGAUGGGCAUCUUUUUUAAACUUUCUGUACAGUCUUUGAAUAAUUACUCUAACUAGAACAUCCUGUAGAAGUCAUGGUCCUCCUCGUGGGGAUUGUUGAUUUUGCUCUAGCAUGUU
rnacentral:misc_RNA from 1 species